rnacentral:rRNA from 1 species
UACGUAGGGGGCAAGCGUUGUCCGGAUUUAUUGGGCGUAAAGAGCGUGUAGGCGGUUCGGUAGGUCCGUUGUGAAAACUCGAGGCUCAACCUCGAGACGCCGAUGGAAACCCUCGAACUAGAGUCCGGAAGAGGAGAAUGGAAUUCCUGGUGUAGCGGUGAAAUGCGCAGAUAUCAGGAAGAACACCCGUGGCUAAGGCGGUUCUCUAGUACGGUACUGACGCUGAGACGCGAAAGCGUGGGGAGCGAACAGG